rnacentral:tRNA from 1 species
GGAGAGGUGCUCGAGUGGUUGAAGAGGCACGCCUGGAAAGCGUGUAGCCGGCAAAACCGGCUCGCAGGUUCGAAUCCUGUUCUCUCCGCAA